rnacentral:tRNA from 1 species
GGAGAUGUAGCUCAGUUGGUAGAGUGAUUGCCUACCAUGCCCAAGGCCUUUGGUUCAAUCCCUACCAUCACUA